CACAGCCCGCGCGGGCUGAGCUGCCCAGAAGCCUGUUCCCAGUCACUGCCGUUCCUAGUCACUGCCUCAGGGUGGCCUGAGGAGGACUAGCUCUUGGCGUCUCGGCUCCACUGACUGCUUUUCUUUCUCCUUCAGAUGCUGAUCGCGUGGACAGCACCACAUUAUUGGGUCAUGCGUGCCAGGACUGUGCAAAGAGGAAGUUAGAAGAGAAUGGAAUUGAAGUUUCAAAAAAACUCAGACAGUCAGAUGCUGAUGAUGCUGGAGGGUCUUGAAAUCUUUAAAACCAGUAAAACCUGCAACUUGAAAACUAGCCUUCUGUAACCACGGUGCCCAAACGAAGAGGAAUGUAUGGAGAACUCCACGUGGAUCUCUGAUUGCGAAACCGUCACAUACACCAAGAGAGCCACAUGGGCAUGUGGCCCUCAAGGCUGGGUGAGAGGGCUCCCCUGUGUGUUGAACUAUGCAGGAGGUGACGCAGACACACUUCAGGUGGACUUUGCAAGGACUGAUGGAUAGCUACCUCAGGGGCCAGAAUCCGUGGGAAGGGGUGGACCUGGUGUUCCCGUUCCCAUCUGACAGGCUCUCUUUUGUCAAGGUGGUAUUUUUCGUAAUAAAAGGGGAAGAGUAAAGACUGUCCAAGCAGCAGUAGUUGCCAAAGAGAAAAUACGAAACAGACACUUUUUUUUUUUUUUUUUUUUUGAGUCAGAGUCUCACUCUGUCAUCCAG
rnacentral:sRNA from 1 species